GGGGCGGGGGGCCGCGGGUAUGAGCGCCGAGCCCGAGCACCACCAGCUGGCCGAACCCCGGCGGCUGCGGCCCCGCCCGAAGGAGACUCGGGUCACGUGUCCGUGAGCCCCGCCCCCUUUCCCCCCAGGUGACCCUGACCUCGCUCUGACCCCACCCCUUUACAGUGGAAGGUCUAUGAGCGCACGUGGACCCCAGCCUGGGCAAGUCCGGCGCCUUUGUUUGUGAGACUCUGGACCCCGAGGUGCAAGGCCUUUGUGCGCGUCCGGGAGGCCGCCCCCGUGGGUUAGAUCAGUGCCUCCUGCUGUGGGAGAACUAAGCCCAUGUAGGACGACGUUCCUUCUGGGUGGGCGGAGUCUCCAUCCCUGGGAAAAGGCUCGCCUUGGGGACGUGCCGAUCCCCGGGAGCGCUGGCACUCGCUAACUUUCGCUUCCCCUGCUUGAAGGCGCCGUAAACUUUCUGUUCGUCAAUCAACCACCGGCCCCCUCUCCUCCCUCCCUCCGUUUCGCGCUGCCUAAAAGAGGCACAGGGACACAGUGCUUCUGGCCUUGAAGUUAAGGACAUGCGUUCGAAUUCUGGAGACGGGCUACAUUUCUUUGUAGCCCUCCUCUAGUCCUUCCCAGCCCGGCCUGGGCUUUCCCAGGCGGCUUAGCCCGGGCAGCAGCCGGCUCGAGUUCCGGGGCAAGCCUGAAAGGCUGCGUGCUGGGUUUCUAUGCCCGAGACCCCAGCGAGUGAGUGACCAAGAGACCCCAACGAGUGAGUGACCUACUUAGCAUCAAGCAUCUGACACUAUUAGCUUAAAAUCAAAAAGGACAGAUACGAAUUUUCAUUUGUCCAAGAUCAAGAAAGAACAGAGAUGGAGAAAUAGAGAAAGCCAUGGACUCACAGCUGCCAUGUAUAGAUAGGGGACAAGAGCUCUUUUCCUUCACCUGGCUCUUGUGACCAACUAUAAGUAGUCCUUGAAACAAAGAAAUUAAAGCCAUUUCUAAUCAUAUGAAAAAAAUAUUCCAAAUCAUAAUGAUUAGAGAAAUGCAAAUUAAAACAACUCUGAGAUACUUCACACCUCUCAGAGUGGCUAAGAUGACAGGAAAAAAUAAUGAUGAAUGUUGGAGGGGAUGUGGGAAAGCUGAGACAUUGCUGCAUUGUUGUUGCAGUUUUAAAAUGAUCCAACCAUUCUGGAGAACAAUUUGGAACUAAGCCCAAAAAGGUAUAAAAUUGUGCAUAAAACUUUUGAUCAUUUGUAUCCCAAAGAGAUCAUAAAAGAGGGAAAAGGACCUACAUGGGCAAAAAUGUUUGUAGCGGCUCUUUUUCUGGUGGCAAGGAAUUGGAAACUGAGUGGAUGCCCAUCAAUUGGGGAAUGGUUUAAUAAGUUAUGGUCUCUGAAUGUAAUGUAAUAUUAUUGUUCUAUAAGAAAUGAUGAGUAGGCUAAUUUCAGAAAAAUCUGGAAAGAUUAGGUGAACUGCUGCUAAGUGAAGGGAGUAGAACCAAGAAAACAUUGUACAUAGCAACAAGAAGACUUUAUGAUGAUCAACUAUGAUGGACAUGAUUCUUUUCAACAAUGAGUCGAUUCAAGGCAAUUCCAAUAGACUUGUGAUGGAGAGAACCAUCUGCACCCAGAGAGAGGACUAUGGAAACUGGAUGAGGAUCACAAUCUUUUUGUUCUUGUUGUUGUUUGUUUGUUUGUUUUUUAAUUUUUUUUCUUGUGUUUUUUUUUCCUCCUUUGAGCUGAUUUGUGUGUGUGUGUGUGUGUGUGUGUGUGAGAAUGACAAAUAUGGAAAUAUGUUCAGAAUAAUUGCACACGGUUAACCUAUAUCAGAUUGCUUGCUGUCUUGGGGAGGGAAAAGAGGAAGAGAGGAAGAAACAUUUGGUACACAAGGCUUUGCAAAAGUGAAUGUUGAAAACUAUCUUUGCAAGGAUUUGGGAAAAUAAAAUACCAUUUAAAAAAAUAAGUAGUCUCUGAAGCAGUAAAGAAAAAGGGAGAGAUAAACGUAUUCAUUCAACUUCACCUGAGUUAUCUAUUCUUCUCACCAAUUAGACAGACAGCUAACUAGAUGACUUUUCAUAAUCUCCUAACAUAAGCUCCUCAGUCACACAUGGGACUGAAACUCCUAUGGUUCCUUGAAUUGAAACUAAAUAGAAAAUAUUUGCACAUGUUCUAAGACUGACCUUCAUAAACCAGUUCAUGUUAAAAUCAGAGAGGGUUUGCAAUUUGUGCAUCAAUGAAAUGUGCCCUUAAUGUGUGUUCAAAGUACAUAAUAUUUUACAGACCUGAACUGAACUGAAGGGGUCCUCAGUGGCUGAAUGGCUAACUCCCACUGGAACAGGAGUUCUUUCUAUAGUAAGAAAUUCAUCAAUAAAGUCCAUUUUACUUUUGGAAAAUUUC